rnacentral:lncRNA from 1 species
CGAUCUUUGGAAGGAGUGGCGAGGCGGAGAGAGGAGGGGCAUGAAGAGUUAGGGGAAGGGAAAGAGGAGGGGCAUCUCCCGCCCCUCCCCGCCGCGGUUGGCUGGGAAAAAGUCGUGGCGUCACACAGGUCCCUUGAAAUGGGCUGGUGAAUGGCUAGGUUGGGGUGCACCGGGCGGGCUGUGGAAGAAGAGUGGUGACGCCAUUUCAAGGCUCCGCCCCCUCUCUCGGAGCCGAAAGACUCAGGCCGCAGAAGCUCGGACCAAUCAGGAGAAAGGCUCCAGGAGGGCAUGGAGGAAGAAAAAACAAUCCAAAGACUGCAGGAAAGUAGAAAGAGGAAUAGCUCAACAUCAUUUCUCAUUAGGAAAAUAUAUCAAAACUCCAUUGAGGGGAAGUGAAUGUGGCUCAAGUGAUUGGGCUUCUGCAUACCACAUAGGAGAUUCCUGGUUCAGUUCCUGGUACCUCCUAAAGAAGACAGCAAGCUGGUGUGACAGGCAGGCACAGCAAGCUGACACAACAAGAUGACACAACAAGAAACAUGAGGAAAACAUGAGAGACACAACAAAGCAGGGAGCGAAGGUGGCUCAAGAGAUUAAGCGUCUCCCUCCCACAUUGAAGGUCCCAGGUUCAGUUCCCGGUUUCUCCUAACGAAACAAGGAAGAUGAACAGAGACAGCAAGUGCAAACAAAUGAGUGAAUGGGGAGAAAUAAAUAAAAUAAAUCUUUAAGAAAACCAUUCGAGUGGAGUGAGUAUAUCUUAGUGGUUGAGCUCCUGCUUCACAUGUACAAGGUCCCAGGUUCAAUCCCACAUUGCACUGGCCAAAAAGAGGUGAGGGAAUUUCACCUCUUUCCUAGGAGCUCUCAGAUCUCUCACCGUAAGCAACUAUGAAGGAUAGGUGCUAAGGGAGGAAACAGAUUUCUAAGGAUUGCAGAAACAUAGAAAAGCAAGAAAGACUUCCAGAUGUGAGGGAAGGCCAUUGUUGUAGUUUGCUAGGCUAAAAUAUACCAUAUAUGGGCUGGCUUUUACAAUGGGAAUUUAUUAACUUGCAAGCUUACAUUUCUGAGGCCUUGCAAGUGUCCAAAUCAAGGCAUCAUCAGACGGUGCUUUCUCUCUGAAGAAUGGCUGCUGGUGAUCCUGGACUCCUCUGUCAUACGGCAAGGCCAGUGACGGUGGCUACUGGUCUCUCCCUUCUCCGGGUUUCAUUGCUUCAGCUUCAUGCGUCUGGCUUUCUCUGUUUCUGUGGGUUUCUCUCUCAGCUUCUGUGGC